UUCUGAAAGGGAUACUUCUUCGGACAAUAUACAAGGUGCUGCAUGGUUGUCGUCAGCUCGUGCCGUGAGGUGUCGGGUUAAGUCCCGUAACGAGCGCAACCCUUGUCCUUAGUUACCAGCACGUUAUGGUGGGCACUCUAAGGAGACUGCCGGUGACAAACCGGAGGAAGGUGGGGAUGACGUCAAAUCAUCAUGCCCCUUAUGAUCUGGGCUACACACGUGCUACAAUGGCCGGUACAACGGGCAGCGAAGGAGCGAUCCGGAGCGAAUCCUAAAAAGCCGGUCCCAGUUCGGAUUGCAGGCUGAAACUCGCCUACAUGAAGUUGGAGUUGCUAGUAAUCGCGAAUCAGAAUGUCGCGGUGAAUGCGUUCCCGGUCUU
rnacentral:rRNA from 1 species